GUCACCGUAGCGCAGAGGUCAGCAUGUCCGCCUAGAAUGCUGAAUGCCUGGGUUCGAAUCCUGGCGAGAACA
rnacentral:tRNA from 1 species